GAUGAACGCUGGCGGCGUGCCUAAUACAUGCAAGUCGAGCGAACAGAUAAGGAGCUUGCUCCUUUGACGUUAGCGGCGGACGGGUGAGUAACACGUGGGUAACCUACCUAUAAGACUGGAAUAACUCCGGGAAACCGGGGCUAAUGCCGGAUAACAUUUAGAACCGCAUGGUUCUAAAGUGAAAGAUGGUUUUGCUAUCACUUAUAGAUGGACCCGCGCCGUAUUAGCUAGUUGGUAAGGUAACGGCUUACCAAGGCAACGAUACGUAGCCGACCUGAGAGGGUGAUCGGCCACACUGGAACUGAGACACGGUCCAGACUCCUACGGGAGGCAGCAGUAGGGAAUCUUCCGCAAUGGGCGAAAGCCUGACGGAGCAACGCCGCGUGAGUGAUGAAGGUCUUCGGAUCGUAAAACUCUGUUAUUAGGGAAGAACAAAUGUGUAAGUAACUGUGCACGUCUUGACGGUACCUAAUCAGAAAGCCACGGCUAACUAC
rnacentral:rRNA from 1 species